rnacentral:rRNA from 1 species
UUAAGCGACUAAGCGUACACGGUGGAUGCCCUGGCAGUCAGAGGCGAUGAAGGACGUGCUAAUCUGCGAUAAGCGUCGGUAAGGUGAUAUGAACCGUUAUAACCGGCGAUUUCCGAAUGGGGAAACCCAGUGUGAUUCGUCACACUAUCAUUAACUGAAUCCAUAGGUUAAUGAGGCGAACCGGGGGAACUGAAACAUCUAAGUACCCCGAGGAAAAGAAAUCAACCGAGAUUCCCCCAGUAGCGGCGAGCGAACGGGGAGGAGCCCAGAGCCUGAAUCAGUGUGUGUGUUAGUGGAAACGUCUGGAAAGGCGCGCGAUACAGGGUGACAGCCCCGUACACAAAAAUGCACAUGCUGUGAGCUCGAUGAGUAGGGCGGGACACGUGGUAUCCUGUCUGAAUAUGGGGGGACCAUCCUCCAAGGCUAAAUACUCCUGACUGACCGAUAGUGAACCAGUACCGUGAGGGAAAGGCGAAAAGAACCCCGGCGAGGGGAGUGAAAAAGAACCUGAAACCGUGUACGUACAAGCAGUGGGAGCACGCUUCGGCGUGUGACUGCGUACCUUUUGUAUAAUGGGUCAGCGACUUAUAUUCUGUAGCAAGGUUAACCGAAUAGGGGAGCCGAAGGGAAACCGAGUCUUAACUGGGCGUUAAGUUGCAGGGUAUAGACCCGAAACCCGGUGAUCUAGCCAUGGGCAGGUUGAAGGUUGGGUAACACUAACUGGAGGACCGAACCGACUAAUGUUGAAAAAUUAGCGGAUGACUUGUGGCUGGGGGUGAAAGGCCAAUCAAACCGGGAGAUAGCUGGUUCUCCCCGAAAGCUAUUUAGGUAGCGCCUCGUGAAUUCAUCUCCGGGGGUAGAGCACUGUUUCGGCAAGGGGGUCAUCCCGACUUACCAACCCGAUGCAAACUGCGAAUACCGGAGAAUGUUAUCACGGGAGACACACGGCGGGUGCUAACGUCCGUCGUGAAGAGGGAAACAACCCAGACCGCCAGCUAAGGUCCCAAAGUCAUGGUUAAGUGGGAAACGAUGUGGGAAGGCCCAGACAGCCAGGAUGUUGGCUUAGAAGCAGCCAUCAUUUAAAGAAAGCGUAAUAGCUCACUGGUCGAGUCGGCCUGCGCGGAAGAUGUAACGGGGCUAAACCAUGCACCGAAGCUGCGGCAGCGACACUGUGUGUUGUUGGGUAGGGGAGCGUUCUGUAAGCCUGNUGCUGGAGGUAUCAGAAGUGCGAAUGCUGACAUAAGUAACGAUAAAGCGGGUGAAAAGCCCGCUCGCCGGAAGACCAAGGGUUCCUGUCCAACGUUAAUCGGGGCAGGGUGAGUCGACCCCUAAGGCGAGGCCGAAAGGCGUAGUCGAUGGGAAACAGGUUAAUAUUCCUGUACUUGGUGUUACUGCGAAGGGGGGACGGAGAAGGCUAUGUUGGCCGGGCGACGGUUGUCCCGGUUUAAGCGUGUAGGCUGGUUUUCCAGGCAAAUCCGGAAAAUCAAGGCUGAGGCGUGAUGACGAGGCACUACGGUGCUGAAGCAACAAAUGCCCUGCUUCCAGGAAAAGCCUCUAAGCAUCAGGUAACAUCAAAUCGUACCCCAAACCGACACAGGUGGUCAGGUAGAGAAUACCAAGGCGCUUGAGAGAACUCGGGUGAAGGAACUAGGCAAAAUGGUGCCGUAACUUCGGGAGAAGGCACGCUGAUAUGUAGGUGAAGUCCCUCGCGGAUGGAGCUGAAAUCAGUCGAAGAUACCAGCUGGCUGCAACUGUUUAUUAAAAACACAGCACUGUGCAAACACGAAAGUGGACGUAUACGGUGUGACGCCUGCCCGGUGCCGGAAGGUUAAUUGAUGGGGUUAGCGGUAACGCGAAGCUCUUGAUCGAAGCCCCGGUAAACGGCGGCCGUAACUAUAACGGUCCUAAGGUAGCGAAAUUCCUUGUCGGGUAAGUUCCGACCUGCACGAAUGGCGUAAUGAUGGCCAGGCUGUCUCCACCCGAGACUCAGUGAAAUUGAACUCGCUGUGAAGAUGCAGUGUACCCGCGGCAAGACGGAAAGACCCCGUGAACCUUUACUAUAGCUUGACACUGAACAUUGAGCCUUGAUGUGUAGGAUAGGUGGGAGGCUUUGAAGUGUGGACGCCAGUCUGCAUGGAGCCGACCUUGAAAUACCACCCUUUAAUGUUUGAUGUUCUAACGUUGGCCCCUGAUCGGGGUUGCGGACAGUGUCUGGUGGGUAGUUUGACUGGGGCGGUCUCCUCCUAAAGAGUAACGGAGGAGCACGAAGGUUGGCUAAUCCUGGUCGGACAUCAGGAGGUUAGUGCAAUGGCAUAAGCCAGCUUGACUGCGAGCGUGACGGCGCGAGCAGGUGCGAAAGCAGGUCAUAGUGAUCCGGUGGUUCUGAAUGGAAGGGCCAUCGCUCAACGGAUAAAAGGUACUCCGGGGAUAACAGGCUGAUACCGCCCAAGAGUUCAUAUCGACGGCGGUGUUUGGCACCUCGAUGUCGGCUCAUCACAUCCUGGGGCUGAAGUAGGUCCCAAGGGUAUGGCUGUUCGCCAUUUAAAGUGGUACGCGAGCUGGGUUUAGAACGUCGUGAGACAGUUCGGUCCCUAUCUGCCGUGGGCGCUGGAGAACUGAGGGGGGCUGCUCCUAGUACGAGAGGACCGGAGUGGACGCAUCACUGGUGUUCGGGUUGUCAUGCCAAUGGCACUGCCCGGUAGCUAAAUGCGGAAGAGAUAAGUGCUGAAAGCAUCUAAGCACGAAACUUGCCCCGAGAUGAGUUCUCCCUGACCCUUUAAGGGUCCUGAAGGAACGUUGAAGACGACGACGUUGAUAGGCCGGGUGUGUAAGCGCAGCGAUGCGUUGAGCUAACCGGUACUAAUGAACCGUGAGGCUUAACCUU